GACGAACGCUGGCGGCGUGCCUAAUACAUGCAAGUAGAACGCACAGUUUAUACCGUAGCUUGCUACACCAUAGACUGUGAGUUGCGAACGGGUGAGUAACGCGUAGGUAACCUGCCUGGUAGCGGGGGAUAACUAUUGGAAACGAUAGCUAAUACCGCAUAAUAUUAAUUAUUGCAUGAUAAUUAAUUGAAAGGUGCAAUUGCACCACUACCAGAUGGACCUGCGUUGUAUUAGCUAGUAGGUGAGGUAACGGCUCACCUAGGCGACGAUACAUAGCCGACCUGGGAGGGUGGUCGGCCAACCCUGGACUGGGACACGGGCCAGACUCCUACGGGGAGCAGCCGUAGGGGAUCUUCGGCAAUGGACGACAGUCUGACCGAGCAACGCCGCGUGAGUGGAGAAGGUUUUCGGAUCGGAAAGCUCUGUUGUAAGAGAAGAACGGGUGUGAGAGUGGAAAGUUCACACUGUGACGGUAUCUUAACAGAAAGGGACGGCUAACUACGUG
rnacentral:rRNA from 1 species